UCGACAUCUAGCGUCGUCGUCGCAGUGUCUCCCCUCACUCACACAAACCGUGCAGCGGUCCGGUGUCAGAGGCAACACCACUGAUCUCCGUGCGGGACGCCGUUAAGAGCAGAUGGAGAUACUUCAAAAGCCCAUCUCGAGCAGAGAGGACACCGGACCGUUAAAAAAGCCUCUGGAAGACACGAAAGAGCACUGCAAAAGUGACGAUCACAGCGAAACGAAUUAUGUAGACCUGGGCAAUCCAUCGGACAUGAAGUCAGACAGCACAAAGACAGUAAAAGUCACAUUCACAGGCGAAGGGAACCAGCUGGCAAUAUUCAAAUGUAAAGGCGAUGCAUCCAUCUCCGGGAUUAAGAGUCCUGGGGCGCGAGAGGAGACUGGAAAUGCUGAUAAAAGUUCAUCGAAAGACUGUCACGCGGGGAAGUGCCAUUCCGAGGGACUUUAUGGAGAGCGCGCUCCGCUGAUAGAUGACUAUGUGGACGCGGGAACGGAUGCAAAAUCCGAAGAUGCAAAAUCUUCCUCGUAUGAAACGGAGGAGUUACAAUACACCGACAUGUAUUUGAACAGUCGCUGCGAACCCGAGGACAUCGCGAGCGCUGCGGACGUGGAGGCACACUAUAUAACGACGCACGAGAUUCAGCUGACGGAGUUGGAUCACGAUGUGGAUUUCGGGCUUGGACGCGGAUCCUGCUGGGAUUUCGAGGAUGAUAAUCUGGUGUAUUCAUUUGUUGACUACGCAUCAUUUGACAGCGACGAGACGACUCACGGAAGAAUCCAAAGCAAGUCCAAGAGCAAUAAAGUUCCUCUCGCUUCACGCGCAGCGAAGCUUUCCGCCGCGGGGGCUCUGGUCAGCACCGAAAGUGAACUUUGUGAAUCCGACAAAUGUGCCAGCUCGGAUGAGGGCGCCGGACAGCUUGGAAAUUCACCCGGACAUAUUCACCUGUCAAUCAAAACGUCUUCGCGCGCGGUCAACGAUCCCGGCAGUCUGUUAGGACACAGGAAUGUCCGCUUUCACACCAGACGUGCCGGUGAGCGGAGUCAUUAUUCGUUUAAAAGCGCUGACUCCAAAAGCGAGACCAUGUUUGACCGCUACUUCAUCCCUCCUCCGGGUCGCCAGCACCUCGCCAGCAAACUGAGGGGAAAAGACAUUAACGAAUAUUCCAGUGGCGCUUCCAGUUCCGUCAGCGAACUGGAUGAUGCUGAUAAAGAGGUGCGUAACCUCACCGCGCGCUCCUUCCGGAGUUUGGCUUGCCCUUACUUUGAUGCCAUCAAUUUGAGCAGCUCGAGUGAGUCCUCGGUGUCAGAACACGGACUGAGUUUUAACAAAUGGUCCGCGUUAGUCGACUUGAAUUAUGGCACUUUGACACGUGAGGCGCACAAGAACUCUACGCCUGUUAUGGAGGGAAAUAAUAGCACAGAAUCUACAAACAUUAAAGACAUGGUUCAAACUGAUACAACUAGCCCACAGACUAAAAUAGUGGCGCUGAAGAAUAAUUUGAACUCGCAGCAGGCGUCGAAGAAAAAAGAGUUACGAAGCAAACCGGGUGAAACUAUAACACUUACUGAAACCUUGAACUUUAAUUGUAACGUCGGUGCAGGGAUACCUGCGCGCGAGAGACGUGCGAAACGCGCUCUGAAUGCCACAUUGUCAAGUGCCACAGCCGACGUUACCGGAACCAUGCCAGCCAAGGAGGGGUGUGAAGUAGAAACUCCUAGCGGUAAGACCCCAGAAGAUGCCCACAAGAAAGCCAUCUUUGCCUCUAGUCUUUUGAAAAAUGUUAUUUCCAAGAAAAUGCAGUUCGAGCAAGAGCUUAAAAUGGAAAGAGGUGAAAUAAGCGACACAUAUCCCGUUCCACAAGUGUGCCCUCAUGCUAAGGAUUGCAAAGAGACUGUGAAAAGCUUGGAAAGACAGAUUUCAGAACACUCUCAAGAGGAGAUUGAUGAUGCAACAGACCAGCCGCUAGAGAAUCUGUGUUCCCAUGCUGCUGAGUCACCCUGUGACCCAGAAAUGACCUCUAAAUUAGACUCAAGCGGACUACUAAAGACUCCUUUGACCCCCAGCCAAAAGAGUGCUUUUAAGACCUGGAAAGAUGGAGAGCAGGAAGCAGAAGAUGAUGGAGAAUCUCAGCACGCACUGGAGGAGGAGUCGCCACUGUCAGACACCUCAAUUAGACCUGUGAUGGAAAGCAGUGAAAGUGUUGAGGGCGAGGGUAGUAAGAUGAUUAAGAUGUCUCACUUGUAUGUCCCUAGCUCGCAGCUUAUGCCUAAGGAAAAGGAAGCUGUCGGGCUUUCAUUACAUAAUCUGAAAGGGACUGGAGAGCUUGCAGAGUCAGAUGGGGGAGGGUGCAGAAAACUGAGCUCUGACCAGCUCCGUAGCCCUGCGGACACAAACCAAACCUCACCGUGUCAAAAAGCCCCCGAAAUCAAAAUACACCUGCGAAGUGUUAAAGAAAACAAAAACAAUCAGUUCAAUAUCACCAAUCUCUUAAGGCCCAAUAUCAAUCAUAACACCAACACUAAAAAGGCGAUGAGAGAAUCUAAAAGCCAUUUAUUGACCAUAUCAGAAAAAGUGCCACAUUUUAUGGUAAGGGAUAUUAGAGAUAAUAAAUGUAAGUUCCAGACACCUAUUCAUCAGGUUCGAGAUGUGCGCAAAUUGGUAAAAAGCUCAUAUCGGUUUGUAGCGCUAGAAAAUCCUUCCAGUUCAUCAGGGAUGACAUCCACAGCAUUACGAGAGGAGAGCAAACCUGUUAAUAGGGGACCUGACAAGAAACCAUUUCCUACACCAAUGGUAAUAAAAUGCCAGUCUGUGAACACAAAUAAUGCUGCAAAACCCUCCGAGCCUGUUAAUACGGGCGAGAAUGUCGGUGAAAUGGUGAGAUUAUCACCAAAUCUCUCAGAGUGGGCUACUAAAAGUGAAACCUUGCGCACUGGACCCAGAGUGCCUUGUGCUAAGCAACCUGUGAAUGAACAACCAGAGCUUAGCUUAAAAAUCGACGCUAAAGCAUCAAAACAAAAACCAGAAAAAGCAACAGAAGGCAGCGAGAAGAAGCCCGAGUCUAAGGUUUCGAAUCAAAUAGCUCUUGAAAAGUUGAAGGCAGCUGUGAAAACUAUGGAGCAACUGUACUUUUUUGAUAGGAACGAAUGGAAGCGCAAAACGCAAGCUCCACGACCAAUCACGGACAGUCACGUGCUGUCACUCAUCACGCGAGAGGAGCAAGGAGUCACAAUCAAAACGGACUUUGAGAAUGAAUAUGGGAAAGCGGACACUAGCUCACAGUUGCACAUUGAAAACUCAACCGCGACAACGUUUUCUGGUGUUGACAAGGAUAAAGCAUGUAUGCCAACAGGUUCUCACGGCCAGGAAGACACGGCUAAGUUUGUAACCCAAAGGGCAGAUUCUUUCAGUGACAAGUGUGUUUUUAGUCUGGGCAGUAGCCUCAAAGCACCUCCACAUAUAAAUACAACAAAUGACAGCACUCCGCAAAUGUUUUCAAGCAGAAACUGCAUCCUCUCCACACAAUCUCACCAAGCUCCUUUGUCACUGAAAAUCUGUCCUUCUAAAUCGAAAAGUGAGGAAAAGCACCAGAAAGAGCACCAGCAGACAGAUUCUGACAAUUACCUAACAAUCCCUGUCAAAGCUCACGCUUCCGAACUGAAACCCUCACAAGCAUCACACCCAAAGCCUUCCCAUCAGCCCUUGCAACGCUCGCCCAUCGUAAUGGAGUCUUGGUCUCCUGAUAGUCAGACGGCCAUGAUAUAUCACCACGCCAUGCACCUGCCGGCCGUACCUGCUGCUCAACCCCAGCUACUCUGCCUUACCCCCCCAGCGGACCUCCCACCACCUCACAUCCAGCGCAAGCUCCUGCUGGACCCCUCCACAGGCCAGUACUACUUAGUGGACACCCCUGUGCCCAUGCAGCCAGCCGCCCAACGCUUUUACCAUCCUGAGACUGGUCAGUACUUGGACAUUCCUUUAUCACUCACCCCAGUGCCUGUGUCCGUUUCGCCGGUCGCCCUCGGACCUGCGGCAGCCUAUCCCCCAACCUACUUGGUCUACCCCUCGACCCUGCUUCCACCCCAUCCGCACCCGGUCCCCCAGUCCCAGUCUUCCACCUGCUCGGAGGGAGAAGACACGGUCGAGACGGGAGGCAUGUAUCUGAUCCCCCAGGGCACCGCAGUUCCCAGCAGCACCACUAAACCUGUCAUCAGUAUUACAUCCCAGCAAGGUGCUCGUAUUGUUGCUCCUCCCUCCUUUGACGGCACAACCAUGAGCUUUGUGGUGGAGCAUCGAUAACAGAAGUCCUCAGGGCCAAAAAUAUGCACAGUUAAAGAAACACCCAAAUAAGAUGGUCCGUGUCUGUCUGUUGGAGUCAGUCCUCCCACUUCAUAAAAAAAAAUUCCCACAUCUGUCUUCAUCAAUUCCUACCCGGUGUUGCCUCUUGAUCUCUGACUUUUACAAUGUUGAAAAGCUAAAGAUGAAAGCAGCUUUACAAACUUUGUGCAACACAUAUGUAGCAUGUAGACUUUUUGAGGCAACUAUCUUUUUGGCCAUCCAGCACUGCAUAGUUAAGGGGAAAUGUUUCUUGUUCAAGUUUUCAUUUUGUUGUAUAAAGUGCUUGUAUUUUUACAUUUUUAUGGACUCCUUUAUACCUGUAGGUAGCAAGUUCUGAUUGAGUAAAGCAUGGCUUGUGUGAAAGAGAGAGAAAUAGAGAAAGAGAUCGAGAAAGAGAAACAUUUUGUGUGGUGCCCAUGUUGUGUGUGUGAGAGAGAGAGACAGAGUAAAUGUGUGUCUUUUUCCUCUCAAUGUGAUGAGAAUUGUUAUUAUAGUGACGGACGGAUCAUUGGGGAGUUCAGUAUAGUGUCAGUGUAAUAAUAAUAAUAAUGCUUGAACUGAAAAUACUUGUACUUUUUAAAAAUUGUCUCAAUCUUUAUGUUGCCAAUUACCUCAGUUUGCAGUGCAGGCAUGUUGCUAUCUCUGUUUUACCCAUUCUUUUCCAUCAUCUGUCCUCCCUGUUCAUUUUUUGUCUUUUUUGUUACAUUGAUCAUAUAUUAAAGGUAUAUGGAUCUGCAGGCCAAUCUAUGUACCAAUUUUAGAAGGAA